UACGAAGGGGGGCUAGCGUUGCUCGGAAUCACUGGGCGUAAAGCGCACGUAGGCGGCUUUUUAAGUCAGGGGUGAAAUCCUGGAGUUCAACUCCAGAACUGCCUUUGAUACUGAGAAGCUUGAGUCCGGGAGAGGUGAGUGGAACUGCGAGUGUAGAGGUGAAAUUCGUAGAUAUUCGCAAGAACACCAGUGGCGAAGGCGGCUCACUGGCCCGGUACUGACGCUGAGGUGCGAAAGCGUGGGGAGCAACAGGAGUUAAGAAACCCUUGUACGUUCC
rnacentral:rRNA from 1 species